UCUUCUCUGAUUUGGUCCAUUUACUCGUGCGGGGUUUGAUGGUGAUCGAUGGAUCGAUAGGGUGUUGGAACGAACUGGACGAGGAGUUCGUCAGUGCUUGGGUGUCUGUAGCAAGGAGUAGCUAGUGGGUUAAUUCGUCAGUGAUUAAUCUGUGUGUUUUCUUAGCCUACAUGGCAGCCAUAUUUGUCCUUGCAGAAUCACACAACAGUGCAGUUUUAUUCCAGCAAGGUUGAUUAAUGGUUCAAUUCAUUCAGCAUUAACAUUCUGAACAUUCACGAUUUCAGUGAGAGUGCCAGCUUGGGUGUGGUCAUACUCAUAUCUCAACUGAAACCUCUGCUCCCCCAAUUACCAGAAAAAAAAUGGGAUACAGCAUUCAUACUGUUAGGAAACAUGUCGCUUACCACAUAGAGAUGGAUAUUCCAGUAGGAAUUCCAUCUCAACAGGUUCUAGGGGAGCAACCUUGUUCUUUCCGGCCCGGACAGAUUGCAUUUCCUACAUUCCUCCAGGACAUACUUCUGAACUCUUGGAGGUGGUGCAUUACCAAAGGUAGCAAGGGGGCCACACAGAUUUGCAAGCAAUUGAACUGCCUUCUUGGUUCGGAGUGCCACCAGUCCACCACAUCCUACUAGGAGGAGAGGCUUCAAAUAUUGUCUACGGAGAAAUGGUGAAAAUAGAUGGCACGAUGCUGGCACAUAUGAUGCAAAACAAAAAACUGGGGGCGCAAAUGGUUCAAUUAGGCAUGAGGAAGAGUACACUCAUGGUUCCAAUGCUGGACUAAGAUUGCCAUUGAUCUCCUUGCUUGCUGGAAUGGUUUACUGGCUGGAGGUCCAACCAUUGGAUUUGUUCCUGGAAGGUGCACCACAAGAGACAUCUUUUAUCAAAUGUGAUUGACUGACAAGGGAAGGGCAUAUCCUGAAAGAUCUGGAUUUAACGGUGCAUGGACCAAGGAACCACUUCACAACUCAUACUUUCUGACUAUUUAUCCGAGUAUGAAUACGUCAUCAUCCACGUAUUAGCGCAACUGGGCCUACACCAAGCAGCGAUCGUUGCCUGGCAGCAAAAAAAGGAAGGACAUUACCGUAUAUCUCUGUUUGUCCGGUUGAAGGCAGAAUCAAACAAGGUGAUGACCACAAGUAAGCAUAAAGAGUGCAAUAGCCAUGGAACAAACUUGAGGAUAUGAUAGUAGAAAGCAAGCUUGAUGAUAUUAAUGUCUAAAGUGGAGAGCAAACUCAAGAAGAUGACAACAAGAUAGCAACCAUUACAGUGGAUAGAUAAGAGAGCAUCAACCAACAAUAGUGUUGAGUGAGUUCAAGUGGUGGUAGUUCAUAAGCUCUGACAUAGUUAUGGUUCCAAAUUUACGCCACAUUAUGUCAAUAUUAAUAUAUGCUUAAAUAUCAAAACAAAUAGAUAAAUAUUAAAUAGAGUUAUACUGAAAUAGACAACAAUUAAGAUAAG